CCUCAGCCACAGGCUGCUGGAGGGGAGAAAAGCAGAUUCCAGCGGCCAGCUAAACUUGUCUAGCCUGGAUUCCUCUAGGAAUGGGAAGAAACAGCCAAAGGAGACUGUCCCAGAAAGCUCGGGGCUUCUGUUGCUAUCCAAACGACUCCUUCGUUCCUUGAAGAUGAAGCUUCCACAUCAAGCAGACUGGUGUCCUUGGGAGACUGGAAUUCCAAGCCGUCGGCAAGUGUCCGAUCGGUCGCCAACUUCGGUUUGACCUUGGGUCUCCCAUCAGUUCACUUUCUGGCUUGCCAAGCAAACGUAAAGAUCCUCCAAGGCUCUGUCUUCAAUCUGACCCUGUUCUCUGUUACCACCCCAUGGGAGAGAAUAGAAAGGAUGGUCAAAGGGAAGCUGAGGGACUAUUGUUCUAAAAUCAUCAGUAAGAGUGGACCACAAGACUGAAAGACAGACUGGGGAUGAGCCACAGUGGGGACAAGUAAUGAAAGUUACUUCCAUCCAGAUCUCAGCCCUAAGGGCAUUGCCAUGGGCACGUCACAGAGCCUUUGACACCACAUCAUUGAUGACUGAGUUCAUACCCCUCAGCUACAUCCUUGGGGGGAUAGUCCCUGGAGAGAGCUCUGGCCAUCUGUGCCUUGGAGGGAGCUAUAUGACCCAGGGGAUGACCGAGGAAGGACACAUGGUGGAGCGAUCCACAUGUGGAAUGAAUUGGAGGCCCUUCCUCAUACUGCCUGCCCUCCUGGAGGAAUUUCCAUCUGAUCGAUGUCCUUCUUGAACUGUGGUGCUGCGAUCUUGCUAUAAUCCUCCAGAUGGCUUCGCCAGGCCUGAGGAGAGCAGGGUUAUCACCUCUGUAGCCAGGACAUUGAGGCCCCUCUCUCUUUCGGUGCAGACCAAGAACAUGUUAGCCCCUGAAAGCAUUUCCUGGGCUGUAUUCCAAGGCCAAACAAUUGUAGUAU